rnacentral:lncRNA from 10 species
GUAAUCCACUGGGGUACGCUUCCGCGCUGUGGAGAGUAUGUUCUUUUGCUCUUCACAGUAAAUCUUGCUAAUGCUCACUUUUUGGGUCCACACUACUUUUAUGAACUGUAACACUCACUGCGAAGGUCUUUAGCUUAACUCCUGAAGCCAGCAAGACCACGAAUCCUCUGGGAGGCAUGAACAACUCCUGACCCGCCACCUUAAAGAGCUGUAACACUCACUGUGAAGGUCUGCGGCUUCACUCCUGAAGUCAGCGAGACCACGAACGCACCAGAAGGAAGAAACUCCCCACACAUGUGAACAUCUGAAGGAACAAACUCCCGACACUCCAUCUUCAAGAACUGUAACACUCACCGUGAGGGUCUGCAGCUUCAUUCUUGAAGUCAGCAAGACCAAGAACCCACCAGAAGAAACCAAUUCCGGCCACAGUGUCUCCUUGGCUUACUGUGGAAAAACUCAAGGGGAGAUUAUUCUCUGAAAAAUCUUACCAGGUUGUCUGCAUACCUCAUUCUUCCUGGAUACGGGACAAGAACUCAGUACCCACUAAAUGGCAAGACUAAAACAGCUGUAACACAAACAGUACUGAAACACACCCACCCGUUUGCCAUUUUGUGGGUGACGAAAAGGAGAGAAGUCCUGCAGCCUAUGUCUGGGAACCCAGACCUCAGGGCUCUUUAAGCCAGGACUGUGACAUGCUGUAACAACCUCUUUGAGGCUCUGCAGUUUCUGGGAUCUCCAAGAUUUCGGGCGCCACUGCAUUCCCCUUGUCCAGAUGUUGGUGCCCACAGCAGAAGUCACCUGCAGUACAUCUGGUACAGCUGCAGCCUUGCAUGGAGUUGGCACCUGUGCCAGCACCUGGAGCUGCCUGUCCAUCACAGCUGGCAUGCCUGGCUGUGCACAGUGGCCAGGCCCCACGCUUACCUGCUCACACACCCCUCACUGCUUCAUGCCUAGCUCACACUUGGCAGGUGUGGGAUCCAGGCUGGUAGCAGGAGCUGAGUGCAUCAUGCUAGGCUGAUUGGACAGAACAAGCCCAGUAGGCCUGAGCAAAACUUGGGCAAAGACGCCACCGGCCAUAGAGGUUUCUGGCUGGAAACCAGUGAC